rnacentral:rRNA from 1 species
CCCUUAGAUGUCCGGGGCCGCACGCGCGCUACACUGAAGGAAUCAGCGUGGCUCUGUCCCUGGCCCGAAAGGAUUGGGAAACCCGUUGAAUCUCCUUCGUGAUAGGGAUUGGGGCUUGGAACUGUUCCCCAUGAACGAGGAAUUCCCAGUAAGCGCGAGUCAUAAGCUCGCGUUGAUUACGUCCCUGCCCUUUGUACACACCGCCCGUCGCACCUACCGAUUGAAUGACUCGGUGAAACAUUGGGACCACGAGGUCACUUGCUUCAUUGCGAGAGACUUUGAGGGAACUUUAGUAAACCUAUUCAUUUAGAGGAAGGUGAAGUCGUANCA